rnacentral:rRNA from 1 species
UACGUAGGGUGCAGGCGUUAAUCGGAAUUACUGGGCGUAAAGCGUGCGCAGGCGGUUUGCUAAGACAGGUGUGAAAUCCCCGGGCUUAACCUGGGAACUGCGCUUGUAACUGGCAAGCUAGAGUGUGGCAGAGGGGGGUGGAAUUCCACGUGUAGCAGUGAAAUGCGUAGAGAUGUGGAGGAACAUCCGUGGCGAAGGCGGCUCUCUGGGACGGUACUGACGCUGAGACGCGAAAGCGUGGGGAGCGAACAGG